ACUAGGGUGCCUGAGUAGAAGGAGUACUUUGAUGAAGUACAAACGGUAUAGGAAACUGUACCCCCUAGUA
rnacentral:tRNA from 1 species